rnacentral:lncRNA from 1 species
UAAGCAUUUGUUUAUCAGGAAUGACUCAACCAUGAUCAUGACUUGGCUCCAAAAGUGUAUACGAGAAGCCACUGAUCAUCCCUCCUCUGCGGGAUAUGAUGGAUCUGUUGUCGAGCUAUGUAGAUCUUAACAUCAAACAUAUUUUUUUGAAAGACGAAUACGAUAGUUGACUGGGCUUUUGUCGUGGAGUACUUGGGACCGCUCCUUUAAACCGACAUGCGAGACAUUUCUGAGCCUCUUAGAAAUAUUUUAUUUUAUGCAUAGGCUCUGCUACGUUUUCGGCGGCGUUUCUUUCCUUAUUUUAGUACUUUUGUGACAUUUUAUUUUCGCCAGAUCACCUUUUUACUCAGCUGCCGAUUUUGCAAGGUAGUGCAGCGGUUCAGCAAAGUGCUCGGUACCGGGUCGAAUGAGCUUUAAGCUCUGGAAUGCAUUCGAGAAAAGGGCCUUCCGCGGCACCACGGCGGCGGAAUCUAGAUUCAGUGGUCAGCUAUCCACUGUGUGGUGAACUAAAUUUUAUGCCGGAUUUUGGGAACGCGGAAACAGAUUUCUGCUGCCACGCCGGUCAUUUGCCGCGGCUUGCGGCGCCCGCACGCUGUCUCCGUUCUCGCACCGCCCCCCGCGCACUCCAUGGCCCACCGUGCGGCCCAACCCCCAAGAACGCGCUGCGGGUGGGGAAA